UCAUCAUGCCCCUUAUGACCUGGGCUACACACGUGCUACAAUGGACAGAACAAAGGGCAGCGAAACCGCGAGGUUAAGCCAAUCCCACAAAUCUGUUCUCAGUUCGGAUCGCAGUCUGCAACUCGACUGCGUGAAGCUGGAAUCGCUAGUAAUCGCGGAUCAGCAUGCCGCGGUGAAUACGUUCCCGGGCCUUGUACACACCGCCCGUCACACCACGAGAGUUUGUAACACCCGAAGUCGGUGAGGUAACCUUUUAGGAGCCAGCCGCCGAAGGUGGGACAGAUGAUUGGGGUGAAGUCGUAACAAGGUAGCCGUAUCGGAAG
rnacentral:rRNA from 1 species